rnacentral:misc_RNA from 1 species
GUGAAUCAUCGAAUUUUUGAACGCAAAUUGCACUCUCUUCGGAGAGUAUGCCUGUUUGAGGGUCAGUAUUAAUAAAAAUCGGUGUGUUGCUUCUUUGUGACGCUCCGGAGUUUGGGUCAUCUUAAUAUCUUUAAGGUUUUAAGAGGCUUAAAUUUGACUUUUUUUGCGCUUUUUAGAUGUACUUAAUUUCUUUUUUUUAUUCGUCUGUUUUAAUGCCCAAAUUCCUAUAAGAUGCGACAAAUU